AUUGAACGCUGGCGGCAUGCCUUACACAUGCAAAUCGAACGGUAACGGGCCUUCGGGUGCCGACGAGUGGCGAACGGGUGAGUAAUACAUCGGAACGUGCCCGAUCGUGGGGGAUAACGAGGCGAAAGCUUUGCUAAUACCGCAUACAAUCUACGGAUGAAAGCAGGGGACCGCAAGGCCUUGCGCGGACGGAGCGGCCGAUGGCAGAUUAGGUAGUUGGUGGGAUAAAAGCUUACCAAGCCGACGAUCUGUAGCUGGUCUGAGAGGAUGAUCAGCCACACUGGGACUGAGACACGGCCCAGACUCCUACGGGAGGCAGCAGUGGGGAAUUUUGGACAAUGGGCGCAAGCCUGAUCCAGCCAUGCCGCGUGCAGGAUGAAGGCCUUCGGGUUGUAAACUGAUUUUGUACGGAACGAAAAGCCUUCUUUUAAUACAGGAGGGUCAUGACGGUACCGUAAGAAUAAGCACCGGCUAACUACGUG
rnacentral:rRNA from 1 species